rnacentral:rRNA from 1 species
AGCGAACGCUGGCGGCAGGCCUAACACAUGCAAGUCGAACGAACUCUUCGGAGUUAGUGGCGGACGGGUGAGUAACACGUGGGAACGUGCCUUUUGGUUCGGAAUAACUCAGGGAAACUUGUGCUAAUACCGAAUGUGCCCUUCGGGGGAAAGAUUUAUCGCCAUUAGAGCGGCCCGCGUCUGAUUAGCUAGUUGGUGAGGUAACGGCUCACCACGGCGACGAUCAGUAGCUGGUCUGAGAGGAUGACUAGCCACACUGGGACUGAGACACGGCCCAGACUCCUACGGGAGGCAGCAGUGGGGAAUCUUGCGAAAUGGGCGAAAGCCUGACGCAGCCAGGCCGCGUGAAUGAUGAAGGUCUUAGGAUAGUAAAAUUCUUUCACCGGGGACGAUAAUGACGGUACCCGGAGAAGAAGCCCCGGCUAACUUCGUG